rnacentral:rRNA from 1 species
AGGACGAACGCUGGCGGCGCGCUUAAUACAUGCAAGUCGAGCGAGAACCAGGGCUUCGGCCCUGGGGACAGCGGCGAACGGGUGAGUAACACGUGGGUAAUCAACCCCCGACACCGGGAUAGCCCAGGGAAACUUGGAUUAAUACCGGAUGCUCCAUCUGGCUUUCGAGCCGGCUGGAAAAGGGUGCUUCGGCCUCCGGUCGGGGACGAGCCCGCGGCGGAUUAGCUUGUUGGUGAGGUAAAGGCUCACCAAGGCGACGAUCCGUAGCUGGUCUGAGAGGACGAUCAGCCACACUGGGACUGAGACACGGCCCAGACUCCUACGGGAGGCAGCAGUAGGGAAUCUUGCGCAAUGGGCGAAAGCCUGACGCAGCGACGCCGCGUGAGGGAAGAAGGCCUUCGGGUUGUAAACCUCUUUCAGGAGGGACGAAGCCACUCGGGUUAAUAGCCCAGAGGGUGACGGUACUCCAGAAGAAGCCCCGGCUAACUACGCGCCAGCAGCCGCGGU